rnacentral:lncRNA from 1 species
GGCGCCGGCGCGCCGGGGUUUGAAAGGCCCGAGCCUCGCGCGCUUGCGCACUUUAGCCAGCGCAGGGCGCACCCCGCCCCCUCCCACCCUCCCUGCCCCUCGGACCCCGUACUCUACCUCAUCCUUCUGGCCAGGCGAAGCCCACGACGUUGACAUGCCGGAGAUCCGCCUCCGCCAUGUCGUGUCCUGCAGCAGCCAGGACUCGACUCACUGUGCAGAAAAUCUUCUCAAGGCAGACACUUACCGAAAAUGGCGGGCAGCCAAGGCAGGCGAGAAGACCAUCUCUGUGGUCCUACAGUUGGAGAAGGAGGAGCAGAUACACAGUGUGGA